AUCAAUUUUCCCAAUUACAAUGUGUAAAGUUAACCCUAAAUUUUAACCAAGUGACUAAUUUAUGUCUAUACAAAUGUAUCCAAGUCAGAUUAAACCCAUUAUCUCCUUGAGUCUCAUGCUUCUCAUUUUUUCUGUAUGGCUGUGCUUAGGACCAGGAAUCAUACAGUACUGGUGAUUCUUUUAGUGAAUAGAUUUUGGCUAACAUGUAUCACCGGUCUUAUUCCCAGUCACAGAGAUGUGGUUUCCGACAUGAAAUCCUUACAAAAGGAACCAGAAAGUGCAUCUGUGGCUAAAAAGAUCCAUGUCCUUGCCAACAACUGUUCUGUGGGACUAAAUCUGAAGGUAUUAUAUGCAAUGUGAGAGACAUAUCUAUAAAUUAAGUUUAAAUCCUGUGGCAGUUUCCUCUUUAAACUUACAGACAUCUACUUUUUUCUUAUCCAGGAUAAGAAUUGAUUUUUUUCAUGAUGCUUUAAAUUUCUCUUGUAUCAUCUAGCAGGAACUUGUGCAAGUUUGACAAUGUGCUUGGUAGGCGGUGUUGCUCCGUGAUUAAGAGCACAGGCUCCGGUGUUUCUUACUAACUGAAUCUGCAUCAAGGUCUAGGUGUAUCUGUCCAUUUUUGCCAAGUUUGGGGCAGUAACAGCAACCCCAGCAUCUCAGUGGCUUACAAAACAAAGGCGUAUUAUUCUCUGGAGCGCUAUGCCUCUGCUGGUCAGCUGUGGCUCUGCUCCUGUGACUUCAUUCUGGAAUUCAAGAUCAAGAAUUGGUCUGGAACACUCUAUCCCAGUAUCAGAGGAAAAGGAGACUCCCAAGUUAAGCAAUGGCCCUUAACAUUUCUGCUCAGACAUGGCACAAGUUAUCCACUCACAUUCCAUUGACCGGACAAUUCACAUGUCA
rnacentral:lncRNA from 1 species